AUUGAACGCUGGCGGCAGGCUUAACACAUGCAAGUCGAGCGGAGCGAGGGUGCUUGCACCUUAGCUUAGCGGCGGACGGGUGAGUAAUGCUUAGGAAUCUGCCUAUUAGUGGGGGACAACAUUCCGAAAGGAAUGCUAAUACCGCAUACGCCCUACGGGGGAAAGCAGGGGAUCUUCGGACCUUGCGCUAAUAGAUGAGCCUAAGUCGGCUUAGCUAGUUGGUGGGGUAAAGGCCUACCAAGGCGACGAUCUGUAGCGGGUCUGAGAGGAUGAUCCGCCACACUGGGACUGAGACACGGCCCAGACUCCUACGGGAGGCAGCAGUGGGGAAUAUUGGACAAUGGGCGGAAGCCUGAUCCAGCCAUGCCGCGUGUGUGAAGAAGGCCUUUUGGUUGUAAAGCACUUUAAGCGAGGAGGAGGCUCUUAAGGUUAAUACCCUUGAUGAGUGGACGUUACUCGCAGAAUAAGCACCGGCUAACUCUGUGCCAGCCGCCGCUGUAAAAC
rnacentral:rRNA from 1 species